AGUGGGAUAGCUGGGUCAAAUAUGGUUCAAUUCCAAGUUUUCCAAGGAAUCUCCAUACUGCUUUCCAGAUUGGUUGCACCAAUUUGCAGUCCCAUCAGCAAU
rnacentral:pre_miRNA from 1 species